rnacentral:rRNA from 1 species
UGAGUACGAGCUGCUACGGCAGCGAAGUGGGUGAUGUCAAGCUUCCAAGAAAAGCCCUAUACCCGUUAAGGCAUGACGGCCUGUACCCGAAACCGACACAGGUGGGGUGGUAGAGAAUACCGAGGGGCGCGAGAUAACUCUCUCUAAGGAACUCGGCAAAAUGGCCCCGUAACUUCGGGAGAAGGGGUGCCACCGCAAGGUGGUCGCAGUGAAGAGGCCCAGGCGACUGUUUACCAAAAACACAGGUCUCCGCUAAGUCGCAAGACGAUGUAUGGGGGCUGACGCCUGCCCAGUGCCGGAAGGUUAAGGAAGCUGGUCAGCGCAAGCGAAGCUAGCGACUGAAGCCCCGGUGAACGGCGGCCGUAACUAUAACGGUCCUAAGGUAGCGAAAUUCCUUGUCGGGUAAGAUCCGACCCGCACGAAAGGCGUAACGAUCUGGGCGCUGUCUCGGAGAGAGGCUCGGCGAAAUAGAAUUGUCUGUGAAGAUGCGGACUACGUGCACCCGGACAGAAAGACCCUAUGAAGCUUUACUGUAGCUUGGUAUUGUGCCCGGGCUCUGAAUGCGCAGGAUAGGUGGGAGGCUUUGAUCCAUGGCUUGCGGGUCAUGGUGAGCCAACGGUGAGAUACCACUCUUUCAGAGCUAGGGUUCUAACAGCCACCCGUUAUCCGGGGGCUGGACAGUAUCAGGUGGGCAGUUUGACUGGGGCGGUCGCCUCCUAAAAGGUAACGGAGGCGCGCAAAGGUUUGCUCAGGCUGGUUGGAAAUCAGCCGACGAGUGCAAAAGCAGAAGCAAGCUUGACUGUGAGACCAACAAGUCGAACAGGGACGAAAGUCGGCUUUAGUGAUCCGACGGUUCUGAGUGGAAGGGCCGUCGCUCAACGGAUAAAAGUUACUCUAGGAUAACAGGCUGAUCUCCCCCAAGAGUUCACAUCGACGGGGAGGUUUGGCACCUCGAUGUCGGCUCAUCGCAACCUGGGGCUGAAGUCGGUCCCAAGGGUUGGGCUGUUCGCCCAUUAAAGCGGUACGCGAGCUGGGUUCAGAACGUCGUGAGACAGUUCGGUCCAUAUCCGGUGCAUGCGUAAGAACAUUGAGAGGAGUUCUCCCUAGUACGAGAGGACCGGGAGGAACGCACCUCUGGUGUACCAGUUAUCGUGCCAACGGUAAACGCUGGGUAGCCAUGUGCGGAGAGGAUAACCGCUGAAAGCAUCUAAGUGGGAAGCCCACCUCAAGAUGAGUGUUCUCAUGGCUUAAGCCAGUAAGGUCACGGGAAGAACACCCGUUGAUAGGCUCUACGUGGAAGCGCAGCAAUGUGUGAAGAGGAGGAGUACUAAUAGACCGAGGGCUUGAC